UUCUACAUGAGUUAUUUUUUCAUGGAUGAACCCUCUUAUGCAGCAAGUUUAUAAGAGGCCUCUUACAGAAAAGGAUGUAUGGAAACUGGAUGUUUUGGAUAGGACAGUAACACUUAACAAUGCGUUUCAAAACUGUUGGGCAGAGGAGUCUCAAAGGCUUCAACCAUGGCUUUUGAGAGCAUUAAAUAGAAGCCUUGGAGGAAGAUUUUGGUGAGA